rnacentral:rRNA from 1 species
AAGCUCGUAGUUGAAUUUCGGGGUUAGUAGGUUGGUCAUGCCUCUGGUAUGUACUGGUCUCACUGAUUCCUCCUUCCUUAUGAACCGUAUGCCAUUAAUUUGGUGUUGCGGGGAAUUUGGACUGUUACUUUGAAAAAUUAGAGUGUUUAAAGCAAGCUAACGCUUGAAUACAUUAGCAUGGAAUAAUGAAAUAGGACGUUCGAUCUUAUUUUGUUGGUUUCUAGGAUUGACGUAAUGAUUAAUAGGGAUAGUUGGG